GAUAAACGCUGGCGGCGUGCCUAACACAUGCAAGUCGAACGAUCCCGCAAGGGAGAGUGGCGGAAGGGUGAGUAACACGUGGGAAUCUACCUCCUCGCAGGGAACAACCUCUCGAAAGAGAGGCUAAUACCCAAAAGGGUCAGAAAUGAUCAGAGUCGAAAGGCGUGAGGAGAGGAGCCCGCGGCCCAUCAGCUAGUUGGUGAGGUAAUGGCUUACCAAGGCUACGACGGGUAGGGGAUCUGAGAGGAUGUCCCCACACUGGAACUGAAACAACGGUCCAGACGCCUACGGGUGGCAGCAGUGAGGAAUAAUUGGACAAUGGGCGAAAGCCCGAUCCAGCAACGCCGCGUGGAGGAUGAAGGCCUCGGUCGGU
rnacentral:rRNA from 1 species